AGCGAACGUUAGCGGCGCGCCUAACACAUGCAAGUCGCACGAGAAAGGGAGCAAUCCCCGGUACAGUGGCGCACGGGUGAGUAACACGUAGAUGACCUUCCCUGGAGUGGUGGAUAACCUGCCGAAAGGCGGGCUAAUACAGCAUGGGACCACAUGGUUUUGACCGAGUGGUGAAAGCGGGCCUCUGUUCACAAGCUCGCGCUCUGGGAUGGGUCUGCGUCCCAUCAGCUAGUUGGUGAGGUAAUGGCUCACCAAGGCAUCGACGGGUAGCUGGUCUGAGAGGAUGACCAGCCACACUGGAACUGAGACACGGUCCAGACUCCUACGGGAGGCAGCAGUGGGGAAUCUUGCGCAAUGGGCGAAAGCCUGACGCAGCGACGCCGCGUGGGUGAUGAAGGCCUUCGGUUGUAAGCCUGUGGGAGGACGAACCGUACGGGG
rnacentral:rRNA from 1 species